ACGGUGAGGGAUGAAAGCUGGGGGAGCAAACCGGAUUAGAUACCCGGGUAGUCCCAGCUGUAAACCAUGCAAACUCAGUGAUGCAUUGGCUUGUGGCCAAUGCAGUGCUGCAGGGAAGCCGUUAAGUUUGCCGCCUGGGAAGUACGUACGCAAGUAUGAAACUUAAAGGAAUUGGCGGGGGAGCACCACAAGGGGUGAAGCCUGCGGUUCAAUUGGAGUCAACGCCU
rnacentral:rRNA from 1 species